rnacentral:rRNA from 1 species
UACAGAGGCCUCGAGCGUUAGGCGGAAUCACUGGGCUUAAAGCGUGUGUAGGUGGAUGCCUAAGUACCUUGUGAAAUCCCACAGCUUAACUGUGGAAUUGCUUGGUAUACUGGGUGUCUUGAGCCACUCAGGGGCUACCGGAACAAAUGGUGGAGCGGUGAAAUGCGUAGAUAUCGCUUGGAACGCCGACGGUGAAAACAGGUUGCUGGGAAUGUGCCGACGCUGAGACACGAAAGCCAGGGGAGCAAACGGG